rnacentral:lncRNA from 1 species
CUUUCGCGUCUGCGGUGCCCGGAGUGUGGUACUUCUCCUAGUUGCAGUCAGGCUUCAUACGCUAUUGUCCUGCCCGUUUAUUGUUGGCCAAAACCAGGCUUUGAUUGAACCAGGAUGAAUGCGGGUGUUGGAAGUAGAAUAUAUAUAUACAUAUAAAAUUGGUAAGUGGUGCCAACACGUCUUCCCUGGCUGAGUAGACACAGGCUCUGGAGGGGGUAGUAGCUGCUUUUCAGUGUGGGUUUGUCACCCUACUUCUUGUACGACUCAAAUGUGGCCUUUGCAGCUGAUGAUACAGCUUCUUUCCCCAUCAGAUCGACCCUGUUGAUCUCUACACUAUUGGCCAGUUUUGUCUGAUGCAUUGGCCCCAGUAAUAACUCCUAUCUUUGUUUUCUGCUUAUCUUUAUCAGAGACUAUUGCUUGUUCAUGGGAACUGGGCUUUCUCUAUUUUUUCCAGCAUUCAGAUGGCUUCUUUUGACCUGUUAACUUUCUAUAGGUUGGGAGCCACGUGUACCAGUGUGUGUUGAUCUUGGCUUGAUUCAGUCUGCCUUGUAACAGAAACUGGCGAUGGAAUAUGAGAGGAGCCCUCUGGAAAGAAAAGGACAGACCCUGUGCUUUCAUGAAAGUGAAGAUCUGGCUGAACCAGUUCCACAAGGUUACUGUAUACAUAGCCUGAGUUUAAAAGGCUGUGCCCACUUCAAGAAUGUCAUUGUUAGACUUUGAAAUUUCUAACUGCCUACCUGCAUAAAGAAAAUAAAAUCUUUUAAAUC